rnacentral:rRNA from 1 species
UACGUAGGGAGCAAGCGUUGUCCGGAAUCAUUGGGCGUAAAGCGCGCGUAGGCGGCCCUGUAAGUCCGUUGUGAAAGUCAAAGGCUCAACCUUUGAAAGCCGAUGGAUACUGCAGGGCUAGAGUCCGGAAGAGGCGAGUGGAAUUCCUGGUGUAGCGGUGGAAUGCGCAGAUAUCAGGAGGAACACCAAUAGCGAAGGCAGCUCGCUGGGACGGUACUGACGCUAAGGCGCGAAAGCUAGGGGAGCAAACGGG